GACGAACGCUGGCGGCGUGCUUAACACAUGCAAGUCGAACGGAAAGGCCCUGCUUUUGUGGGGUGCUCGAGUGGCGAACGGGUGAGUAACACGUGAGUAACCUGCCCUUGACUUUGGGAUAACUUCAGGAAACUGGGGCUAAUACCGGAUAGGAGCUCCUGCUGCAUGGUGGGGGUUGGAAAGUGUCGGCGGUUGGGGAUGGACUCUCGGCUUAUCAGCUUGUUGGUGGGGUAGUGGCUUACCAAGGCUUUGACGGGUAGCCGGCCUGGGCGGGGGACCGGCGACAUGGGGACUGAGGUACGGCCCAGACGCCUACGUGAGGCAGCGGUGGGGAAUAUUGCACAAUGGGGGGAAGCCUGAUGCAGCAACGCCGCGUGCGGGAUGACGGCCUUCGGGUUGUAAACCGCUUUCGCCUGUGACGAAGCGUGAGUGACGGUAAUGGGUAAAGAAGCACCGGCUAACUACGUG
rnacentral:rRNA from 1 species